UACGGAGGAUCCAAGCGUUAUCCGGAUUCAUUGGGUUUAAAGGGUGCGUAGGCGGAAUGAUAAGUCAGUGGUGAAAGCCUGCAGCUUAACUGCAGAACUGCCAUUGAUACUGUCAAUCUUGAGUACAUUUGAUGUGGGCGGAAUGUGUCAUGUAGCGGUGAAAUGCUUAGAUAUGACACAGAACACCGAUUGCGAAGGCAGCUCACAAAACUGUAACUGACGCUGAGGCACGAAAGCGUGGGGAGCGAACAGG
rnacentral:rRNA from 1 species